rnacentral:rRNA from 1 species
CUGGUCCUACGGGACGCAGCAGUGAGGAAUAUUGGUCAAUGGGCGGGAGCCUGAACCAGCCAAGUCGCGUGAGGGAAGACGGUCCUAUGGAUUGUAAACCUCUUUAGGCGGGGAGCAAUGCCGGGCACGCGUGCCCGGAGGAAGAGUACCCGCAGAAUAAGCAUCGGCUAACUCCGUGCCAGCAGCCGCGGUAAUACGGAGGAUGCGAGCGUUAUCCGGAUUUAUUGGGUUUAAAGGGUGCGUAGGCGGAUUUUUAAGUCAGCGGUAAAAUUUCCG